rnacentral:tRNA from 1 species
GCUCUCGUAGCUCAGUUAGUUAGAGCAUCUACUUAGUAAGUGGAGGUCUUGAGUUUGAUUCUUAACAAUAGUA